rnacentral:rRNA from 1 species
CCUACGGGGUGCUGCAGUGAGGAAUAUUGGUCAAUGGCCGCAGGGCUGAACCAGCCAAGUCGCGUGAGGGAUGACGGUCCUAUGGAUUGUAAACCUCUUUUGUCAGGGAGCAAAGGGCGCCACGUGUGGCGCUUUGCGAGUACCUGAAGAAAAAGCAUCGGUUAACUCCGUGCCAGCAGCCGCGGUAAUACGGAGGAUGCGAGCGUUAUCCGGAUUUAUUGGGUUUAAAGGGUGCGCAGGCGGAAUGUCAAGUCAGCGGUAAAAUUUCGGGGCUCAACCCCGUCGUGCCGUUGAAACUGGCGUUCUUGAGUGAGCGAGAAGUAUGCGGAAUGCGUGGUGUAGCGGUGAAAUGCAUAGAUAUCACGCAGAACUCCGAUUGCGAAGGCAGCAUACCGGCGCUCAACUGACGCUCAUGCACGAAAGCGUGGGUAUCGAACAGGAUUAGAUACCCUAGUAGUC